AAACCAAUAAAUACUUGAUGCAGG
rnacentral:piRNA from 1 species